AUUGGAAAAACAUUACAGCUCUGGUUCCGGCUCUGGUGGUCAAGUUGCUAAGGAUGCUCUCGGAAACGACGUGAUUGCAGCUGAAUGGCUUAAGACUCAUGGCCCUGGUGACAGGACCCUCACACAAGGAUUGAAGGCGGAGAACAAGUUCUUAUGCCCCUGCCAUGGAUCCGUACAAUGACCAAGGAAGGGUUGUCAGAGGACCUGCUCCUUUGUCUCUGGCGUUGGCUCAUGCCGAUAUUGAUGACGGGAAGGUGUUUGUUCCAUGGGUUGAAACCGAUUUCAGAACCGGGGAAGCACCAUGGUGGUCUUAAACAUCACAAGGCAACUCUUAUGAAAAUAUGUAAUUUGAAUUGUUUCGCUAUAUCUUGCUUCUUUCAUAAACAACCUGUGUCAUAAGGUUAUUCUUCGUUGAAUUUGAAGCAUUUAUU